AUACAUGCGAGUCGAGCGAACAGACAGGAGCUUGCUCCUUUGACGUUAGCGGCGGACGGGUGAGUAACACGUGGGUAACCUACCUAUAAGACUGGNAUAACUUCGGGAAACCGGAGCUAAUACCGGAUAAUAUUUCGAACCGCAUGGUUCGAUAGUGAAAGAUGGUUUUGCUAUCACUUAUAGAUGGACCCGCGCCGUAUUAGCUAGUUGGUAAGGUAACGGCUUACCAAGGCGACGAUACGUAGCCGACCUGAGAGGGUGAUCGGCCAUACUGGAACUGAGACACGGUCNAAACUUAUACGGGAGGCAGCAGUAGGGAAUCUUCCGCAAUGGGCGAAAGCCUGACGGAGCAACGCCGCGUGAGUGAUGAAGGUCUUCGGAUCGUAAAACUCUGUUAUUAGGGAAGAACAUACGUGUAAGUAACUAUGCACGUCUUGACGGUACCUAAUCAGAAAGCCACGGCUAACUACGUGCCAGCAGCCGCGGUAAUACGUA
rnacentral:rRNA from 1 species